rnacentral:rRNA from 1 species
UACGGAGGGUGCAAGCGUUACUCGGAAUCACUGGGCGUAAAGGACGCGUAGGCGGUCAGAUAAGUUGGAUGUGAAAUCCUAUGGCUUAACCAUAGAACUGCAUCCAAAACUGUUUGACUAGAAUGAGGGAGAGGUCAGUGGAAUUAGUGGUGUAGGGGUAAAAUCCGUAGAGAUCACUAGGAAUACUCAUUGCGAAGGCGACUGACUGGAACUUUAUUGACGCUGAGGCGUGAAAGCGUGGGGAGCAAACAGGAUUAGAUACCCUGGUAGUCCACGCCCUAAACGAUGUACACUAGUUGUUGGGAUGCAAGUCAUCUCAGUGAUGCAGCUAACGCAUUAAGUGUACCGCCUGGGGAGUACGGUCGCAAGAUUAAAACUCAAAGGAAUAGACGGGGACCCGCACAAGUGGUGGAGCAUGUGGUUUAAUUCGAAGAUACGCGAAGAACCUUACCUGGGCUUGACAUCCCGAGAAUCAUCCAGAGAUGGAUGAGUGCCAGUUUACUGGAGCUCGGUGACAGGUGCUGCACGGCUGUCGUCAGCUCGUGUCGUGAGAUGUUGGGUUAAGUCCCGCAACGAGCGCAACCCUCGUCCUUAGUUGCUAACAGUUUGGCUGAGCACUCUAAGGAGACUGCCUCCGCAAGGAGGAGGAAGGUGAGGACGACGUCAAGUCAUCAUGGCCCUUAUGCCCAGGGCGACACACGUGCUACAAUGGGGAGGACAAUGAGAAGCGAUACCGCGAGGUGGAGCAAAUCUAUAAACCUUCUCUCAGUUCGGAUUGCACUCUGCAACUCGAGUGCAUGAAGCUGGAAUCACUAGUAAUCGUAGAUCAGCCAUGCUACGGUGAAUACGUUCCCGGGUC